GGAGUUGUAGCUCAAAGGUAAAGCACUUGCCUCAUACGUGUGAGGCACUAGGUUCGAUUCCUAGCACCA
rfam:Ictidomys tridecemlineatus contig018491, whole genome shotgun sequence.